ACGAGGUCUGUGGCAGCAAAGUGAACCGACCUGGGUUCUUUUCAGGUCGCAGUGUCGGUACAGUCGCCUGGAGGUACAGUCUAAUUUCUGCAGAGUCGACCUGGUGGAUUUUGACAUGACCCCGAAACGGCCGGAGCACUGAUACUGCUGUGUUGUCGGUGACAUUUGAGGUUUAGAUGAGUCACACGUCUCACAUGGUGCAGCUACAGUCUCAUCCCUUGAUGAUUCGGACUCCCCUGCAGUGUCUGGAAAGAUUGCAUGGAAAAGAUUCAGAUCCACUGUCACCCCAUGACAUCACACCGGAGAGCAUUCCAGACACCGGAGUGUCCUGGGAGAGGAGUAUCUCUGUGUUUCUCACCUGCUCUUGCAGUUGGC